rnacentral:tRNA from 1 species
UAGCUCAAUGGCUAGAGCCUGAGACUCUUAAUCUCAGGGUUGUGUGGGUUCGACCCGC